rnacentral:rRNA from 1 species
GACGAACGCUGGCGGCGUGCUUAACACAUGCAAGUCGAACGGAAAGGCCUCUUUCUGGGGGUACUCGAGUGGCGAACGGGUGAGUAACACGUGAGUAACCUGCCCUUGUCUUUGGGUUAACCUCAGGAAACUGGGGCUAAUACCGGAUAGGAGCUCCUGCUGCAUGGUGGGGGUUGGAAAGUUUCGGCGUUUGGGGAUGGACUCUCGGCUUAUCAGCUUGUUGGUGGGGUAUUGGCUUACCAAGGCUUUGACGGGGAGCCGGCCUGAGAGGGUGACCGGCCACAUUGGGACUGAGAUACGGCACAGACUGCUACGGGAGGCAGCAGUGGGGAAUAUUGCCCGAUGGGUGGAAGCCUGAUGCAGCAACGCCGUGUGCGGGAUGACGGCCUUCGGGUUGUAAAACGCUUUUGCUCAUGACGAAGCUUUGUGUGACGGUAGUGGGUCAAGAAGCCACGGCUAACUACGUG